AAACUGCGAAUGGCUCAUUAAAUCAGUUAUCGUUUAUUUGAUAGUACCUUACUACUUGGAUAACCGUGGUAAUUCUAGAGCUAAUACAUGCUGAAAACCCCGACUUCGGAAGGGGUGUAUUUAUUAGAUAAAAAACCAAUGCCCUUCGGGGCUCCUUGGUGAUUCAUAAUAACUUCUCAGAUCGCAUGGCCUUGCGCCGGCGACGGUUCAUUCAAAUUUCUGCCCUAUCAACUUUCGAUGGUAAGGUAUUGGCUUACCAUGGUUUCAACGGGUAACGGGGAAUUAGGGUUCGAUUCCGGAGAGGGAGCCUGAGAAACGGCUACCACAUCCAAGGAAGGCAGCAGGCGCGCAAAUUACCCAAUCCCGACACGGGGAGGUAGUGACAAUAAAUACUGAUACAGGGCUCUUUUGGGUCUUGUAAUUGGAAUGAGUACAAUUUAAACCUCUUAACGAGGAACAAUUGGAGGGCAAGUCUGGUGCCAGCAGCCGCGGUAAUUCCAGCUCCAAUAGCGUAUAUUAAAGUUGUUGCAGUUAAAAAGCUCGUAGUUGAACCUUUGGCCUGGCUGGCAGGUCCGCCUCACCGCGUGCACUUGUCCGGCCGGGCCUUUUCUUCUGGAGAACCGCAUGCCCUUCACUGGGUGUGUUGGGGACCAGGACUUUUACUUUGAAAAAAUUAGAGUGUUCAAAGCAGGCCUUUGCUCGAAUACGUUAGCAUGGAAUAAUAGAAUAGGACGUGCGGUCCUAUUUUGUUGGUUUCUAGGACCGCCGUAAUGAUUAAUAGGGACAGUCGGGGGCAUCAGUAUUCAAUUGUCAGAGGUGAAAUUCUUGGAUUUAUUGAAGACUAACUACUGCGAAAGCAUUUGCCAAGGAUGUUUUCAUUAAUCAGUGAACGAAAGUUAGGGGAUCGAAGACGAUCAGAUACCGUCGUAGUCUUAACCAUAAACUAUGCCGACUAGGGAUCGGGCGGUGUUAUUAUUUUGACUCGCUCGGCACCUUACGAGAAAUCAAAGUGUUUGGGUCU
rnacentral:rRNA from 1 species